rnacentral:misc_RNA from 1 species
UCGAGUUGGGGUCUUUCAGGCCCAACCUCCAACCCUUUGUGUAAUUGACCUUGUGUUGCUUCGGCGAGCCCGUCCUCAUGGACCGUCGGGGGUUCUUCAUUGACCCCCUGGCCCGUUGCUCGUCGGUGGCCCACUUAAAUUCUUGAUAAACUCAGUGUCUGAAGCUUGAUGAGUAAUCAAAGCA